AGGGAGAUGGCUUAGUGGGUAAAGUGCGUGCUUUGUAAACAUGAGAUCAUCUCCCUC
rnacentral:tRNA from 1 species